CCUACGGGGAGCAGCAGUGGGGGAUAGUGCACAAUGGGGGGAACCCUGAUGCAGCGACGCCGCGUGGGUGAAGAAGGGCCUCGGCGCGUAAAGCCCUGUCAGCAGGGAAGAAAAGGACGGUACCUGAAGAAGAAGCCACGGCUAACUACGUGCCAGCAGCCGCGGUAAUACGUAGGGGGCAAGCGUUAUCCGGAGUUACUGGGUGUAAAGGGGGCGCAGACGGGGCUGCCAGCCAGGAGUGAAAGCCCGGGGCCCCACCCCGGGACUGCUCUUGGAACGGCGGGGCGGGAGUGCAGGAGGGGCAGGCGGAAUUCCUGGUGUAGCGGUGAAAUGCGUAGAUAUCAGGAGGAACCCCGGUGGCGAAGGCGGCCUGCUGGACUGCAACUGACGUUGAGGCCCGACAGCGUGGGUAGCAAACCGGAUUAGAUACCCCAGUAGUC
rnacentral:rRNA from 1 species